rnacentral:rRNA from 1 species
CAGUAGCGUAUAUUAAAUUUGUUGCAGUUAAAAAGCUCGUAGUUGAAGUUCUGCGGGGCGGGCGAGCCGGCUCAGGCUGACUUACCUUCCUCGCAUCCGCUUGAGCAGCGGCAGUGGCAUUGAUUUGUUGUUGUCGUGAUCAGGCCUUUUACCUUGAGCAAAUUAGAGUGUUCCAGGCAGGCUCUCGCCUGAAUAGUCCAGCAUGGAAUAAUACAAUAGGACUGUGUCCCAUUUUUUGGUGUUAUGGUACGCAGUAAUGAUUAAUAGGGACAGUUGGGGGCAUUCGUAUUCAAUUGUCAGAGGUGAAAUUCUAUGAUUUAUUGAAGACGAACCUAUGCGAAAGCAUUUGCCAAGGAUGUUUUCAUUAAUCAAGAACGAAAGUUAAGGGAUCAAAGACGAUCAGAUACCAU